UCAAGAUGGCGGCCUGGAAGUAGCUCCUGCGCGCUGCUCUCACAGGGAGGAGACAAAGGGCUGGUGAACACUGACCCUACAAGCUGAUAUCUAAGAAACCGUGUCGGACUCGAUCAAGGCAGCAAGCCGACACAGAGAACAGAGAGGAGUGCAGCUGGGCAGCAGCCUGUCUGGGAUAAACGCGGAGCCAGGAGAAGCUCCCCAACACAGGAAAGGGAUUUGAACAACUUGCAAAUACACCAUGCUGGACACACUAAGAUAAGCAAAAUCAAGCUUAUCCUGAAACUGAAUAUAUAGACGUACUUUAUCUGGAGAGAC
rnacentral:lncRNA from 10 species